rnacentral:rRNA from 1 species
ACAGGGAUUGCCCUAGUAACGGCGAGUGAAGCGGCAACAGCUCAAAUUUGAAAUCUGGCUCUUUUAGAGUCCGAGUUGUAAUUUGCAGAGGGCGCUUUGGCUUUGGCAGCGGUCCAAGUUCCUUGGAACAGGACGUCACAGAGGGUGAGAAUCCCGUACGUGGUCGCUGGCUAUUGCCGUGUAAAGCCCCUUCGACGAGUCGAGUUGUUUGGGAAUGCAGCUCUAAAUGGGAGGUACAUUUCUUCUAAAGCUAAAUAUUGGCCAGAGACCGAUAGCGCACAAGUAGAGUGAUCGAAAGAUGAAAAGCACUUUGGAAAGAGAGUCAAACAGCACGUGAAAUUGUUGAAAGGGAAGCGCUUGCAGCCAGACUUGCUUGCAGUUGCUCAUCCGGGCUUUUUGCCCGGUGCACUCUUCUGUAGGCAGGCCAGCAUCAGUUUGGGCGGUAGGAUAAAGGUCUCUGUCACGUACCUCCUUUCGGGGAGGCCUUAUAGGGGAGGCGACAUACUACCAGCCUGGACUGAGGUCCGCGCAUCUGCUAGGAUGCUGGCGUAAUGGCUGUAAGCGGCCCGUCUUGAAACACGGACCAAGGAGUCUAACAUCUAUGCGAGUGUUUGGGUGUCAAGCCCGAGCGCGUAAUGAAAGUGAACGGAGGUGGGAACCCGCAAGGGUGCACCAUCGACCGAUCCUGAUGUCUUCGGAAGGAUUUGAGUAAGAGCAUGGCUGUUGGGACCCGAAAGAUGGUGAACUAUGCUUGAAUAGGGUGAAGCCAGAGGAAACUCUGGUGGAGGCUCGCAGCGGUUCUGACGUGCAAAUCGAUCGUCAAAUUUGGGCAUAGGGGCGAAAGACUAAU